CUGACAGUGGUGCUGCUGGCUGGGAACAGGAUGCUGUCAGGCCGAACAGACGCACCGACCUAACGGAGAGAAACCGCAGCAGCAUCCUUUGUUUUGUUGAGCUGGAUAACCAGCUGUGGCACCUACUGACAACCUGCAGCACCUGGAGGAGAAGGGGGAGGCGUCCAGUUCCAACAGCCAAUAACCUGAUGCGCAGUCAAGAGUCACAAUCAAGACCGCUGUGCUAGGCUAGCCAAUAGGACAGCUCCAAACCAAUUGUGUGGCAAGCUGAAGAGAGAGCUGAAGCAAAGGUGGAGGGGCUUUCCUUUCCCACCAUCCCCCAGCCCUGUGGAAGCACUCAUCCACACCAUUGCACUGAAACAAAUUCAUCGCUCUUUCUCUUCCCAUUCUGUCAUUACACUCUAUUUUGCUUGAUGAAUAGGUCAGUGGAACCUAAGCACUGUCACCCAGUAGAGACCUCUCAGUAAGGACCAGUGAAAUUAGUUGUUUAGGUUGAGGGCUGCCAACAGAGAUCAUCCUAGUCAGGCCAUGCAGUAGUAUAUUUGAA